AUGAAGCCACUGAAUGAUCUCUUUGCUAGAGGUUUUGAUGUGUACCAGAGAUCUGCACUAGGAUUAUGCAGUGCAUCUUUGAAACAAGAGUUGAACAAACUAAGAGCACUGCUGUCUGUCUUAGAGAGAAGCAGACGUAGCAUUUUAACUGGACAGAUCUCACUCUCAGGAACCUCAUAGAUUCUCUUUCCAGAUGGAGCUUCUUCUGAUCGAAUACCCCCCUGGAAGUUUUUCUGUUGUGUUUCGUGGCAAAGAGUUACAUACUGGCGAUUGUUCUCAUCCUUUUGAAAAAGAAAUGAGUCUGUUCGCAGUUGAUGGUGGAACUCUAAUCCACGCGUAACAAGAUGUAUAGACAAGUGAUACCACACACAUUGUCGAAGAACAAUUGGAUUGUAAGGAGCGGAAAGGAAGUAAGAAGAAAUUCGUUCAAGGUCUUCAGGAUGAAUGACAGAUUUGUGGUUGGUAGCCCUUGAUGCACCAGUUUUCGUCAUUUCUUUGAGCAUUCCAUCCAAUGUAUGGUUUGCUGAUUUGAAUUCCUUGUCUCGAACAGUAUCCAUGGACCUUUUAAGGUCUUGGAGGUACCGAUUGAUUGCCGAACGGAUAGAUUUUAAAGAAUUUUUGUGGUAAUUUUCAGCUUGUACAUCCGUCAGUUCUUCUGAUCUUUUGGAAGUUGAUUUCGGUUUGGCUUCACAAUAAAAUCUCCUUAAUUUUGUCGCGAGGACCUCUGGACUGACAGUUUUGAAAUCAAGGACAUCAGAAAAAGCCUCCAAGUGCCAGUCUAUAAAUUUUAAAUGAAUUAAUUGUUAUUAUUGUUUUAAAUGUUGUUUAAUUUUUACUGUUUAUUAUUUUGUUUACAUUUUUGAAAUUGUUUUUCAUUUGUUGGUUUUGUUUGUAUUAACGUUGUUUGAUUUGGUUUGUUUUUUUAUUUCUGUUAUUGUACAGUAGUACAAUCAAAGAAAAUGAUAUGCCUUUGUGCUGGUCAAUGUUUUGUUAUACAUGAAUUAAAUCUGUAGAACAUAC
rnacentral:sRNA from 1 species